UCCGGUUGAUCCUGCCGGACCUGACUGCUAUCGGGAUGAGGCUAAGCCAUGGAAGUCGACGUGCGCCCUUGCGCACGUGGCGUACGGCUCAGUAACGCGUGGCUAACCUACCCUCGUGACGGGGAUAACCUCGGGAAACUGAGGAUAGUCCCCGAUAGGCGAGUGGCUUUGGAAGAACCGCUCACCGAAAAGGACGGAGGGAAUGGCCUUCGUCCGCGCGAGGAUGGGGCUGCGUCCCAUCAGGCAGUUGGUGGGGUAAUGGCCCACCAAACCUAUAACGGGUACGGGCCGUGAGAGCGGGAGCCCGGAGAUGGGCACUGAGACAAGGGCCCAGGCUCUACGGAGCGCACCAAGCGCGAAACCUUCGCAAUGCGGGAAACCGUGACGGGGCCAUCCCGAGUGCAGGCUGCUGAGGUCUGCUUUUGCCCAGUGUAAGAAGCUGGGCGAAUAAGUGGGGGGCAAGACUGAUGUCAGCCGCCGCGGUAAUACCAGCUCCACGAGUGGUCAGGACGGUUAUUGGGCCUAAAGCGUCCGUAGCCGGCCCGGUAAGUUUAUGGUGAAAUCCGGCAUCUCAAGUGUCGGAGCGCUGUAAAUACUGCCGGGCUAGGGAGCGGGAGAGGCCGAGGGUACCUCCGGGGUAGGGGCGAAAUCCUAUAAUCCCGGAGUGACGACCAGUGGCGAAAGCGCUCGGCUAGAACGCGUCCGACGGUGAGGGACGAAAGCUGGGGUAGCAAACCGGAUUAGAUACCCGGGUAGUCCCAGCCGUAAACUAUGCGGGCUAGUUGUCGGAACGGCUUAGGGCCGCUCCGGUAACGCAGGGAAGCCAUUAAGCCCGCCGCCUGGGGAGUACGACCGCAAGGUUGAAACUUAAAGGAAUUGGCGGGGGAGCACCACAAGGGGUGAAGCUUGCGGCUCAAUUGGAGUCAACGCCGGG
rnacentral:rRNA from 1 species